rnacentral:rRNA from 1 species
CAGUAGCCACGGUAAUACGUAGGGCGCAAGCGUUAUCCGGAAUUAUUGGGCGUAAAGAGCUCGUAGGCGGUUUGUCGCGUCUGCCGUGAAAGUCCGGGGCUCAACCCCGGAUCUGCGGUGGGUACGGGCAGACUAGAGUGAUGUAGGGGAGACUGGAAUUCCUGGUGUAGCGGUGAAAUGCGCAGAUAUCAGGAGGAACACCGAUGGCGAAGGCAGGUCUCUGGGCAUUAACUGACGCUGAGGAGCGAAAGCAUGGGGAGCGAACAGGAUUAGAUACCCCCGUAGUCCCUGUCUCUUAUAA